rnacentral:lncRNA from 1 species
CUAGCAAAAAAAGUUUAUUUUCCCUUCAGAUCAGUCUCCGUGGAGCUGCCAUUUCCUGCUGACUGCGAGACAAGAUGGAGUGCCAGAUUGUCAUUUAGUUUAACUCCAUGGAAAUGAGGCAAGGGAAUCUGACCAUGAUUAAACCUUUGCAUCCAGCAAAAGAACACAGGGCAAUCAAGGAAACCUUCUGCUGGCCCUCGGGGGACAGACUGUUGACACGUCUGGAGGAGCUA